AUUGAACGCUGGCGGCAGGCCUAACACAUGCAAGUCGAACGGUAGCACAGAGAGCUUGCUCUCGGGUGACGAGUGGCGGACGGGUGAGUAACGUCUGGGAAACUGCCCGAUGGAGGGGGAUAACUACUGGAAACGGUAGCUAAUACCGCAUAACGUCGCAAGACCAAAGUGGGGGACCUUCGGGCCUCACACCAUCGGAUGUGCCCAGAUGGGAUUAGCUAGUAGGUGGGGUAAUGGCUCACCUAGGGGACGAUCCCUAGCUGGUCUGGGAGGAUGACCAGCCACACUGGAACUGAUACACUGUCCAGACUCCGACGGGAGGCAGCAGUGGGAAUAUUGCACAAUGGGCGCAAGCCUGAUGCAGCCAUGCCGCGUGUAUGAAGAAGGCCUUCGGGUUGUAAAGUACUUUCAGCGGGGAGGAAGGCGGUGAAGUUAAUAGCUUCACCGAUUGACGUUACCCGCAGAAGAAGCACCGGCUAACUCCGUGCCAGCCGCCGCGGUAA
rnacentral:rRNA from 1 species